rnacentral:lncRNA from 1 species
GGGACUCGUGGUUGGACGAAACCGCGGGCGCUCGUGUCGUGUUUUGGGCCAGCUGGGCCGUAAUGGUUCGUGUACGUUCCUGGUCUAUGGCACGCGCUGCGCUGCUGUUGCACCGGCACGAUCUGUCAAGAUCCUGUAUUAGUCAGAUGGGUUUAGCAGCCGCUGCUGACAGGGCGGGGUGCUGACUGGGCCGCCAUGAGUGCAUGACUAAGAGUGUGCACAUGAAGCCACUAGCGCACCAUGGGUUCUACCAGCAGCAAAAUUUCCCCAUUAAUUUACCAUAUUCCACUAUUUGUAGGCGCCAAGUGAACAUGGAGACGGGCGUGGAGGAGGUGCCGCCCGACUCGUUCUGGACGCUGGUGGCGAGCGGCAUGCGCCUGACGCCGGCGCAGGUGGCGGACUGCCGCACCGCGCUGACGCUGUACCGCGAGCGCAUGGAGGUGGUGAUGGCGGAGCGGCGCAGCCUGGCCGACCAGCUGGCGUCGUGCAUGGGCGCCCUGCACCUGGCGGAGGCGGAGGGACGCGCAGCGCCGGGCAGCAUGCAGCGGGAGCGGCUGACGCUGGAGGCGGAGGAGGUGGCGGCGGCGCUCGACACGAACGUCGCCGCCGAGGGCCACACCACCAUGCUCGCACGCGACCUGCUCAACAGCACGCUCCUAACCAAGAUGCAGUGUGCCCGCAUCAGCGUGCUGUCCUACCCCUACUUCCCAGAUGCGCUGGCGCUGCUGACUGCGGCGGUGGACAUCUCGGAGCGGCCCUCCAAGAGCGGCGGCAGCGGCGGCGCAGCAGCAGCUGGCGAGGCCGCCGCCAACAGCUGAGUGCCGCUCACGGGAAGCCGCGCUGGCGUCCAGCGGCCCCUGCACAGCUGAUAGGGAUAUGUUCUUCAUGCGUGACUCCUUGCUUGACAUGGUGCAGCAUGUGCGCUCUAAUUUUGGUGUUGAUUUCGGUUGCCGUUUUAAUCCAUGCAUGUUUGGUUUCCGGAAGCCGCCACCCAUCCUCACGUUUGGGAGAGCUUAUCCCGCGCCGCGCUUAUUGUUUGUUUUGAGUGUUGGAUUGUUUAAACGCGCGGAAUGUGAAGGCGAAUGCCAACGCAGCAUAAACGGGUGGGUGGCGGCCGGAAGUGGGUGACUGCAUGAAGGUUGGUGCGAAUACUAUUUCGAUUUGCAUCUUGUGGUCGACCUUGCUGUGAGGCCCGCACACUACGGUCCCUGGGAGCCGUGUGCAUCAACCAAGUUUUGCCAAACAUAAUGAAGCUGACCAUGAUCUAACGGCGGGCGGUGUGGGUGUCUUGCUGGGUCCGCAUACGGUACCUGUGGGCGGGCCCGCAAGCCUCAAUAAAGUUUUGAUGUCCUUUUUCCAUGGCCUAACUCCAGUUUUAGAACGCUAUGAGCUUAUCUCUCUUACAUAUAGAGCACUGUCACUGCACAAGAUACGAGGAAGCACUGAAGAUCUCGGGGGAAGCCGUCCAUGAAAGACGGGGGAAAGGAAAAGGGAUGGCCUAGAAGUGGUGUGAUGCGGUUGGCCUGGGACAGCAUGGGACUGGGACGGUCUUCAUGGCGUGUGCACGUUUCUUACUAAACGCUAAUUUGGUGCGCUCACGUGCAUCCCUUACAAAGACGUUGCUGGGGGCUCGUGAGAGAAGGUGCCACAGCUUGUUCCGAAUGCAUGCGAUGCCAGUUCGUAUGGCAGCGUUAAUCUGUGCGUGCCAUGGAAAUAUGGCGUGCCUUUCCAGCCCCAGCUCCAUUUGGUGUGGAGCUGAGGCUUUGAAGGAAGUGGUGCGCUGUUGCUGCAGAGUGAUGCAGCAGUAGUCUGGAGCAAGGGCCGGUGAGGCGGCUCACGACACAAGCGUGAUGAGCAGAGUCGGAAGCUAUCAUCGGAAGAAAGAAAGGCGACAUGGCACGUUGGGUGCCAAUUCGGUGUGAACUACUAUGGUCGGAAAUGCAUCAACUCUAUGAUGUGUGUACAACUAGGCUGGCGCUGGAUUACAGAAGGCAACGUCAAGAAGGUGAGGGCUGCCGCCUGUGCCCGGCGCAGCCGAUGGCCAGGACGAUGUCGAGGUGCCUCUGUAUCGUAAGACAGAACCGCAGUUGGCGACGCGGGCCACCCACACCAUGGCUGGCACGUGUGCUCGAGUACCGUGCGGUACGCGUAUGGUAGGCAGGUGGUAGGCGUAUAUUAAGGCGGGUGUGCACAACAAGAUGCGUUCGAGCGCCCCAACCCCCAAUCCCUUGGGGCUACUAGGUGACGCGGUGUGAUGCAGCGGGUGCGGGCUCUGACAAAUGACACGAGGGCAAGCCCUCGAGGUAAGGCAGGUCGUAAGUUGGCAAGUACUGCGGGGCUGCAACCCCACGCUAAUACGCUUGCCGGUGGAGCAAGGCCGCAACGCUGGGGCGCAGAGCGCCAGCAGCCCAGCACCUGCAGCACUGACAGCAAUACCUGAGAUAUGAAGGACAGGUGGACACCUCACACCUGGACUGAUCGGACGUCCAAACGAAGGAAACGGUGCGGGGCCAAAAGGAUGAACAUCAGCUUUAGGCCCGACCACUCCAGGGGCACCUGUGAACCACCCGUACUGUGCAUGGGUUUCGGCGGUGUGUCGGCGGCCGCUGUAGCGGCAAGCUGCAUCGCCGAGCUUGAGCCUCGCCAAGCAGCCCAGUAUGCGAAAGCAGUCGUCUGCCAUCUCAUGACAGGGCGCGCCGGCGAGGCUCGCGAUCGGGAGGGGUGCUGGCGAUGGGGCCCUGGGGAUCGGGAAAUGCCACACCACGGGCGUAGAAACACACGCUGGUCUGACGCCGCAACACCGCGGCAAGCCCCUUGACUUUUCUAUAAGUACGUAUGAUUUUUAUGCAACCCAACGACAAGCGGCGCGGACGCUGCUAGGUUUACGGCAUCGUGUGUGUCACCGACGGCAGAUUUGCGCGAAGUGUUACGCACUGCCCAAUCGCAGGUCCGCUCCAAGGCCUUCGCCCUCCACGUACUCACUCAGCUUUAGUAUAGUUCGAAUGACUCGCACACGCCGAAAGGCACCACAGUUGUUUCGCAAAGUAGCAAUUAACUCCAAACGACGCAAUUGACAUUUCUCGCUGAAGGCAGUACUGAACACAUUUUGACACCCAGCAGUGAACGUAUCAUGCAUCAGCCUUUACUAUGGGAGGAGGACUGGGAGAAGGUGACGCCGCGGGAAACCGUCAAGCCGGGGGCACAGGGGUCGAGCCUGUAUGUGGGCCUUCCCCCGCUGGCUGUGCGCCUGGCCGCCGACGCAGCUAAGGCUGCGGCCGCGCAAUCAGCAUCAGCGGGGAUACAGAGCACCAGCACAGACAUCACGAUGUCUUCGGGGCGCAAGCGGCCAAAUGCCAGCACGGCGAAGAGCCUGCGCCCGCAGCAAGUCAUGAUGAUAGAGCUACAAAAGAAGCUCGACGUCCUGAUGAAGGAAUACUCCGUGGUCGAAACGGAAAACAGCAGGCUGAGGGCAAGGCUGAGGGUAAGCGGGGGGUAUACAUGAAGGCGGGGAGAAAGGACCAGACGGGGACCAGACGGGCAGUGUAACCUGACGUAACCCCAUGCGUGGCAUGCCGCGUGGCGGUUGCCAGCAGUUGGCAGCCACGUGCCCAGCAGCCUACUUAGCCCAUCAGGGCCACGUUGGGCGGCGAACACGUACCUAUUCAAGUAAAACCAAUAGCCAGGGCGUGGGACCAGCCGGAACGUUGCGCCUGCUUUCGGUGGUCGACUGGUCGUGGAGUGUUUGGUGGGCAACUCAAAAAUUGGGCAUUUGCAGUGGCGCAACCCGUUUAAGGCUAGUGCGGGCUUAAGACCGCAGUCCACAAACCAACGCACAGGCGAAGGCUUCUUCAAGUCCUCAGCCCUGGUUGUCUGUCACCGCGCACACCAGCUGCCGCCGUGCCCCAUUGCUCCUGUGUACGGUAGUACACGCGGGGCCCUGCGCGCAUGCGCCUGUCUGUACUCGCGACCGCCCCCACGCGCUAAACCCCCAUGCCCCCCCUCCCCAUGCCAGGUUAUUGAGGCGGUGCUGCCUGUACGGCAGAAGCUUCAGAAGCAGCCCUCCCAGCCGCUGCCCAGCAGCACCCCCACCCCCACUCCCACCGGCACCGGGAUGGUGAGCACGCCGCCACAGCCACAGCCGCAGGCGGGCGACGCCACCGAGCGUCCCGCCGCCUCAGACGACCUCUGCUGCAUGAGUGGCGACGUCGGGGGUGGCGGCGGCGCGGGCGGCGCGCUGGGCAUCUCGCCGGCCGGCCUGCAGCAGCAGCACUCGCUGCAACACCAGGCGUCGCAGCACCCGCACCUCCAACACCAACAUCAGCAGCAGGCAGCCUCCGGUGGCGCCGGCGCUGUCAGCAGCUCCACGACCAGCGCCACGGCGCCGCCGCCGGGCCUGCUGCGCCUGGCCGCCGACUCUCCCAGCGCCAGCCCACACCGCUCCUCCGUGGAACCCGACCUCGACUCCGGCUGUAGCCCGCUGCUGCACCCCACCACAUCCACUCUGGAACAAUGGAUGCGCUCGCGCCCCGCCUCCUGCAAACAACAGCAGCAUAGCAAGCACCGCCACCAGCAGCAGCAGCAGCAACAGCACAGUCGGAGCGUGGACGAGGAGCGGUGGCUGGAGAUCUGGAAGGUGUGGGUGCGCGAGGCGUCGCUGCUGGUGCAGGUGUACGACGCUCGGCCAAAUGAGAUGUACAUCAAGCGGUUGGACGAGGCGUUUGGCAAGCUGCGGCAGGCGGAGCACGAGCUGGACCUGGCGCAUCCCGAGCUCGUCUGCAACAUGUGCGUGUGUGUGCGCGUGUGCAUGUGUAUUUGUGUGUGUUAGCUAGGGAUAUGAUUACGUGCGUGUUUCCACAUGCUGUUUGUGGGGGCCAUUGUUCAGGCUGUUUUGGCAGCCACCGAUGACUUUGCCGGCACAAAUUGCAAUACGAAUCCUAUGCACACGCUGACAGAAACGCUCACCAGGCUUACCCACCAUUGUCUCUCCAACACAUCAACUACCGUACUUGUAGGCGCCAAGUGAACAUGGAGACGGGCGUGGAGGAGGUGCCGCCCGACUCGUUCUGGACGCUGGUGGCGAGCGGCAUGCGCCUGACGCCGGCGCAGGUGGCGGACUGCCGCACCGCGCUGACGCUGUACCGCGAGCGCAUGGAGGUGGUGAUGGCGGAGCGGCGCAGCCUGGCCGACCAGCUGGCGUCGUGCAUGGGCGCCCUGCACCUGGCGGAGGCGGAGGGACGCGCAGCGCCGGGCAGCAUGCAGCGGGAGCGGCUGACGCUGGAGGCGGAGGAGGUGGCGGCGGCGCUGCACGCCAACGUGACGGCGGAGGGGCACACCACGGGCCUGGCGCGCGACCUGCUGCGC